rnacentral:rRNA from 1 species
AUGAGUAUAGUUGGCCAAACGGGCCAGGCCAACCAGGCCAUCCCGCGAGCACGCCGGCACGGCCGCCAUGGGCCAGGCACGACACGGGCUAAACGGGCAGUGCCCAGCACGCGGCAUGCCUUGGGGUGUGCAUGGGCCUGGAGGCUGUGCACACCACAGGCCGGCACGACAAGGCUCGUUUAUUAUAUACGUAAAAUAGAACCCAAUAGGCCUAAAAAUCAGCCUAACAGGAAGCAGCUCAAGGUCAAAAUGAUGGUGCAAAAGAUUAAAGAAAAUUUGGAAGGUGAUCAAAAGGUCCUGGUCAUACUCAAUGUUUAUGAAAAGUAUGUACCCCAAUGGGAGGAGACCAGAAACAGUUUUAGCCUUUUGGAGCUCGGGUGCCCCAUCGCUGGUGCUGUGAUCGUGGCCACAAAGACCACUCAACAGGACAACAAUCAAUAUUUUCGCUCUCCAAAGCUGGACCGUAUGGAAUAUUCUCUUGUUGGCCUCUACCUUGAUGCUCUGGUACAUAAUACAGGCAAGCAUUUGGAUGAUACAGGCACCCGCCAGAUUCUUCGCGACAUCUUGCGCGAGUGUGAGCAGCAUGAAUUCUGCAUGAAGAUCUUUGCUCAUGCAUUGUACACCAAACCCAAGAGGAGCAAUGAAGAGUUGAGCAACUUGCACAACACCUUGUGUGCCGCUGCCACACAAAAAUCAUUGCCCAGUAUGAUGUUCAAAUUCUCCUACGGGGAGCUACCUAAAGAGUACAUGUCCUGUUUGCUGUACCUCGCUAUCUUCCCUAAAGGACAAACCAUCAGGCGAUCAACCUUGAUAGGACGAUGGGUUGCAGAAGGGAUGAUAACCACCAAAGAGUGGCGCUGGUCUUCUUCAGUGGAUGAAGCUGAGAAAAGUUUUGAUACGCUCGUCGCCCGGAGCCUUGUUUGUCCCGCUGGCACUGGAGCUACUGGAAAGGUCAAGAGCUGCACGGUGGAUAAGCUAGUUUAUGGAAUCAUUACCAAGAACAUCGCCACGAAGCAGCGGCGCAGCAUAUUCUGGAGACACUCCUGUCACUUCUCCAUUUUCAGCGAUGUCCACCUCCGCAGCUCUGAGACAAUCGAGAAUUUCUUGGAAAAGUCAUCUCAGUUCUCCAAGCUCAAGGUGCUAGAUCUAGAAGGCUGUCAAUGCUUCCCAGAGUGCCAACACUACCUGAGUGACCUAUGCAAGAAGAUACUAAUGCUCAAAUAUCUUAGCCUAAGGGGAACCCUGUGUUACCAGGCUACCCGGUGA